UACGGGGGGGGCAAGCGUUGUUCGGAAUUACUGGGCGUAAAGGGCUCGUAGGUGGCCAACUAAGUCAGACGUGAAAUCCCUCAGCUUAACUGGGGAACUGCGUCUGAUACUGGAUGGCUUGAGUUUGGGAGAGGGAUGCGGAAUUCCAGGUGUAGCGGUGAAAUGCGUAAAUAUCUGGAGGAACACCGGUGGCGAAGGCGGCAUCCUGGACCAACACUGACACUGAGGAGCGAAAGCCAGGGGAGCAAACGGG
rnacentral:rRNA from 1 species